AGAACGAACGCUGGCGGCAUGCCUAAUACAUGCAAGUCGAACGAAGGCUUCGGCCUUAGUGGCGCACGGGUGCGUAACGCGUGGGAAUCUGCCCCUUGGUUCGGAAUAACAGUUGGAAACGACUGCUAAUACCGGAUGAUGACGAAAGUCCAAAGAUUUAUCGCCAAGGGAUGAGCCCGCGUAGGAUUAGCUAGUUGGUGAGGUAAAGGCUCACCAAGGCGACGAUCCUUAGCUGGUCUGAGAGGAUGAUCAGCCACACUGGGACUGAGACACGGCCCAGACUCCUACGGGAGGCAGCAGUAGGGAAUAUUGGACAAUGGGCGCAAGCCUGAUGCAGCAACGCCGCGUGAGGGACGACGGCC
rnacentral:rRNA from 1 species